AAGUAGGGCCAAAUAAAACCCUAUUUGCAUGUUUUCCUGCUGCUCUCAGUAUUUGCAUUGCGAUAAUAGAAAUGCUCUGUUGUGAAACAACUAGGCUAUUUGCAUGGUAGCUUCUCGAAAUAUUCUCGCCCGACAGGUUCAUCUCCAUGCUUCUCUCUGCAUUGAAACACUCUGUUCGUUUUUACGAUUCAAAAAGGUUUGAAAACAUUUUAAACACUGAAAGGAAUCUGCUUUAAUUGUACUGUGAUCAACGAACAGGGAAGUGUUGUUGUAAACCCCCUUCACUGCAUGAUCUCUGAAUAAUUCUCAUCACUCUUUAUUGAGUUUUCGUCUAUGAUUCGGGAAGCAUGCAGGAUACAAUGGGGCGUAAUGCAGCAUUCCUGUUCUUCUGGGGAAUCUUGACAAUAACCCCAGACCCUUUAUUAGCAUUCCCUGAUGUAUCUUCCAUUACAUCACAUUCCACAGUAACAACAACACAACAGCUUGAGUCAUCAGACCAUACCCAAGUCUCCAUCUCAUCAAAUGAAUCAACAAUUACAAAUAUUUCCUCUACAACAACACCAGAAAUAAGUUCAUCCAUUUUCACCACAACAUCACAACCAAAUUAUCUCACAACCACAAGUGCAACCGAGUCUUACUUCACCAUUCAAACAACUACACAACAGAAGAACACUUCUUUCAAUGACACUUCUGACUCAAUAUCAAACCACCAAAGCAUUGCCACUCAAACACUGGAGCCCU